rnacentral:rRNA from 1 species
UGGGGAAUAUUGGACAAUGGACCAAGAGUCUGAUCCAGCAAUUCUGUGUGCACGAUGAAGUUUUUCGGAAUGUAAAGUGCUUUCAGUUGGGAAGAAAGAAAUGACGGUACCAACAGAAGAAGUGACGGCUAAAUACGUGCCAGCAGCCGCGGUAAUACGUAUGUCACGAGCGUUAUCCGGAUUUAUUGGGCGUAAAGCGCGUCUAGGUGGUUAUGUAAGUCUGAUGUGAAAAUGCAGGGCUCAACUCUGUAUUGCGUUGGAAACUGUAUAACUAGAGUACUGGAGAGGUAAGCGGAACUACAAGUGUAGAGGUGAAAUUCGNAAAAAUUUUUGGGGAAGGCCGAUGGGGAAGCCAGCUUACUGGACAGAUACUGACGCUGAAGCGCGAAAGCGUGGGUAGCAAACAGGAUUAGAUACCCUGGUAGUCCACGCCGUAAACGAUGAUUACUAGGUGUUGGGGGUCAAACCUCAGCGCCCAAGCAAAUGCGAUAAGUAAUCCGCCUGGGGAGUACGUACGCAAGUAUG